rnacentral:rRNA from 1 species
GACGAACGCUGGCGGCGUGCUUAACACAUGCAAGUCGAACGAAGUGGCGAACGGGUGAGUAACGCCUAAUCAACCUGCCCUUCAGAGGGGGUCAACAGUUGGAAACGACUGCUAAUACCGCAUACUGAUUGAGGGGAUUGCGUCUGAUUAGCUAGUUGGAGGGGUAACGGCCCACCAAGGCGAAGAUCAGUAGCCGGGUUGGGGGGGAGAACGGGCAACAUGGGAAUGGGACACGGGCCAGACUCCUAAGGGGGGCAGGAGUGGGGAAACUUCCGCAAUGGACGAAAGUCUGACGGAGCAACGCCGCGUGAGUGAUGACGGCCUUCGGGUUGUAAAGCUCUGUUAAUCGGGACGCGGUACCGGAAUAGAAAGCCACGGCUAACUACGUGCCAGCAGCCGCGGUAAUUC